UUCAUGGAGAGUUUGAUCUUGGCUCAGGACGAACGCUGGCGGCGUGCCUAAUACAUGCAAGUCGAGCGCAGGAAACCAGAUGACCCCUCCGGGGUGAUUCUGGCGGAAUGAGCGGCGGACGGGUGAGUAACACGUGGGCAACCUGCCUGUAAGACUGGGAUAACUCCGGGAAAC
rnacentral:rRNA from 1 species